rnacentral:rRNA from 1 species
UUAUCGGAAUGAGAACAAUUCAAAUCCUUUAACGAGGAUCUAGCGGAGGGCAAGUCUGGUGCCAGCAGCCGCGGUAAUUCCAGCUCCGCAGGUGUAUAUCUAUGCUGCUGCGGUUAAAAAGCUCGUAGUUGGAUCUGCGUGCUCGGAACUGGUUGGCUCACUGAGUUCAAACUGGUCUCCGGCGCUUUAUUGGCUGGUUUUCCCUUGAUGCUCUUAACCGGGUGUCUUGGGUGGCUAGCACGUUUACUUUGAAAAAAUUAGAGUGCUCAAUUCAGGCGUAAAGCCUUGAAUAGUGGUGCAUGGAAUAAUAGAAUAGGACCUCGGCUCUAUUUUGUUGGUUUUCGGAACGCGAGGUAAUAAUUAAGAGGGACAGACGGGGGCAUUCGUAUUGCGACGUUAGAGGUGAAAUUCUUGGAUCGUCGCAAGACGGACGACUGCGAAAGCAUUUGCCAAGAAUGUUUUCAUUAAUCAAGAACGAAAGUUAGAGGUUCGAAGGCGAUCAGAUACCGCCCUAGUUCUAACCGUAAACGAUGCCAACUAGCGAUUCGCAGGCGUUAAACAACGACCUUGCGGGCAGCUUCCCGGAAACGAAAGUGUUCGGGUUCCGGGGGAAGUAUGGUUGCAAAGCUGAAACUUAAAGGAAUUGACGGAAGGGCACCACCAGGAGUGGAGCCUGCGGCUUAAUUUGACCCAACACGGGAAAACUCACCCGGCCCGGACACCGUAAGGAUUGACAGAUUGAGAGCUCUUUCUUGAUUCGGUGGGUGGUGGUGCAUGGCCGUUCUUAGUUGGUGGAGCGAUUUGUCUGGUUUAUUCCGAUAACGAACGAGACUCUGGCCUACUAAAUAGUGGGCGGAUUCUUUCUGUCCGCGACACUUCUUAGAGGGACAAGCGGUGUUCAGCCGCACGAGAUUGAGCAAUAACAGGUCUGUGAUGCCCUUAGAUGUCCGGGGCUGCACGCGCGCUACACUGAAGGAAUCAGCGUGCUUUCUGACCUUGCCCGAAAGGGCUGGGUAACCCGAUGAAAAUCCUUCGUGAUUGGGAUAGGGACUUGCAAUUAUUUCCCUUGAACGAGGAAUUCCCAGUAAGUGUGGGUCAUAAGCUCGCGUUGAUUACGUCCCUGCCCUUUGUACACACCGCCCGUCGCUGCCCGGAACUGAGCCGUUUCGAGAAGAACAGGGACCGUCGUUGAAGGGCCUUAACGGGCUUUUCUCUGAUAGAAACUGUUUAA